CGGACGGGUGUGUAAUGUCUGGGAAACUGCCCGAUGGAGGGGGAUAACUACUGGAAACGGUAGCUAAUACCGCAUAACGUCGCAAGACCAAAGAGGGGGACCUUCGGGCCUCUUGCCAUCGGAUGUGCCCAGAUGGGAUUAGCUAGUAGGUGGGGUAACGGCUCACCUAGGCGACGAUCCCUAGCUGGUCUGAGAGGAUGACCAGCCACACUGGAACUGAGACACGGUCCAG
rnacentral:rRNA from 1 species